UCUAAGCAACUCCAUUGCAUGACUCAGACUGACAUUUAGAAAGGAACAUCAACAAACAUGUCACCCUCUGUAGCCCUUCAACCAGAUUGAGCUCCAACUCCUCAUAUACAAAGCUGCAUGUAUCAAAGCUAGAAGCAAUUCAAAGCAGAAGAAAGAAGCUGAUGAUAGUCCUUUACCAAAUUCCUUUAUUUCAGUAAACAACUCUGUGGCAGAGCAAGGACCCAAGAAUCCCAGACCCACCAAAACAAUCAUACCUUUGGAGUGACUCAGGCUGAAAAGAAAAUGUUGCCACGUGGAAGCUUCAGUUCUUCUCAGUUGCACAGGGAAAUCUCCACUGCCUGUGCAAGAGCAGCUCCUUUUUAGUGAAGAGCAGACCCUGAACUCAACUGUCUUGCAGUCUUUGGUCAGAAAAUACUGGUCUAUGUUGAGAAGAAUGAACGAGGGAAUUAAUGCCUGUAAUAUGGACUGCAGAAAAGUCACCUACAAGAUAAGAGGGUGACUUGAUCUUUUUGAGAAAAAGAGCAAAAAAGGCUUCCUUAUCUCAUGGCGUUUGUUCUGAAGUAUCAUCUUGUGACUGCCAGAGUCUGCCUUGCAGGAUCAGUCAAUUACAACCUGUGGCUGAUAUCAACUCCUUCCUUUCAGAGGUGGCAUUGUAUUUCCCCAAGUAUGGCUGGUUCCUCUGGGCACUUCAAGGCCUCUGUGCCACCUGUUUGCCUGCUAUGCCUCCAACCCUGUGCUGCUGAUCCCACUCACGUGUUGUGCUGCACAGGAAAUGAUCAGCCCUGCAAUUAGACAGCGAUCUGAAAGGACAAGGAAAUCAAGACAGUGAACCAUGAGGAGCUUGAGUGAGUCACUAUCAGAUAUAUGAGAGUAUGACGAGGAGUGAAUGAGUCCUACCCCUUCUGGAGGGCCCCAGAUUGUUUGUGAACAGUAAUUGUGCAGAUCAGGGGGGAAUCUGCACUGCAAUGAUGAGAGGUGCUCACACAGCUGGGCUCUAUCAGGGUGCUGUGGCUCUCCUCUGUCAGGAAUUUGUCACUAUGCAGCUGUACUUUUCUUCAUUAAAAUGGCCAUGUUAAAUAGCUAUGAGGUUGCUAAAUGCCUACUUUGCUAACUGAUCUUCUCCCCAGCUAGAAGCUUUUUACAGCAGGAGACAUGAGGUUGCUAAACCCAUUAAUUUCUCACAUGCACCCACGUUUCUAAUGUCUGGGGAGAUCCAGCAUUAAAAGUCCUCUGCGAGCCACUGGAAUGAAGAGCACUUCGUGAAGACACUGUAAUUAUUAUGGGAUUUAGGGGUGUGUUGAAAUGAUUCACGGAGAUGUUUCCCAGCCAGCAGGCUCAUGAGGCCAGGUGAGCUCUUCCCUGGAAUGUGAAGCAUGCAGCAUGGCAACUGUGAGAAACAGGUUUGGCAGGACGCUUUAAGCUGUUUGCAGCAGACAGCCUCUUCAGAGCCACAUCCCUGCUUUGCUGAUCUCCCAGCUGGAUGCUCCGCUCUGCCACACUGGCCCUGCUGAGCUGGAGAGGAUGGACACACUGCGCAGGAGCCUUUCUCGAUGGAAGAGGUACCACAUUAAGGUGCACCUGGCUGAUGAGGACCUGAUGAUGCCCCUGACGGUCAGGCCCAGGGACACGGUGAUGGACCUACGGGCUCUCUUGGUACGGGAGGGCAUCACUUCCUGGAAGAAGACAUUUUAUUACAACUCCAGGCAGCUCGAGGAGCACGAGACUCUCAAAGAAGCCAAUAUUCAGAAUGGUUCUGUCCUCCUCCUUGUCAGCAAUAAAAGAUAAUGCCAAAGAGCACAGCCAAAGCCAUGAGAGACGGGGAGUGUGAGAAGGGCUGAAGGAAAGCAGAUGGAAGAGAGCUUGCCCAUGGAAAGGCAGUCUGGCCACCAGUGUUGCGCAGUUGCUGCCUUUCUUCAGAGCAGGAAGAGCUGGUUUGAUGCAUCUUAUCACAUGGGAAAAAGUAGGAAAAAACCCACAAACCACCUAGAAAGAGCCACAGGACCAGCAUAAAAAGAGGUGUGGACAAGACCAAGGACCAGCACUGGAAGGUGUGUUAGGUCUUGAGUGUAUUGCAAGAUGGAAUAGUUUGCAACUUCACAGUGCUGCUCUGUGGAUGGGACUGCUGGUUGUUGGGACUGUGUACCUUCAGGAUCCUGCUGCUGAUGGAGCAUCAUAGACAGGAUUAUCCAAAGCACUGCUGUUUACCUCUGCCUUGGAGCUUCAGCCAGGCCUUUCCAGCAGCUUCUUCUCUUGAGCUUCAUGAGCAGAAGACAAGCCCAGGCAGGUCAUCUCCACAUGUGACUGUGCUCUAGUCAGGCAGCUCAGGCUGAGGCACGUUUCAGUGGCUCCUUGGUGCUUCUCCUGUACCUGAGACAUGCAUGCAUCAAAUGUUUCAGUUUACAGGGCAAUCAACCUGGCAGCUUUCCUUGCUAAAUUUACUUUUUAGAGUUACAUCAGUGCUGUAUCCAGAGGGAAUGGAGGAACAGAUGCAGCUUGUGAAGUCUGGCUUUAAUUCACCCUCCUCAUUUAAUUUCCUGCCCAGCCUACUAAUCAGUGAGUCUGCACUAGUGGCUUUGGGAAUACCAAGGUUUUUCCACAUCCAGAAGAAUUCAAUAUAGUGGCUGAACUCUCAGGGUCUCAAGCAGGUUGUGUCACUUUGCUUUGAGACCACUUCAUUAUGGAUUUCCCUCCCCAAGGAGCACUUGCAGACAUUCUCCAGCUCAUGGCAGCUGCACCUCAUUUCCUUGCAGGGCCCGCUGGUGCAGGGAAGUUGUGUCACAUUAUCCUCUCUUAGCCUGUGUGGCAUUCCCUUCUGGAAGUGCUUUCCUUCAAAGUUUUCAGCCCCAGGCCUUGAUUUUCAGGGCCACACACUUCUUUCUGGGGCUGUGCCCAGGGCAGCUCUGCUGUGCUGGCAGAUGUGCUGCUGGGGCCAUUUGGGCCUUGUCACCUCCCAGGGCUUCCAUGGGCACCAGCAGAGCCUGGCAGGGGCUCCUUCCUCCCUCACAGGGCCCUGAGAGUGUCAUUUCCAGGUACUCUUUCUCCAAGGACACUGGCACCAUCUCAGCCCAGUGGUGCUGUCAGGCACUGCCUCAGACAUUCAGGGCUGUCAAGAAGUGCCAGUGAAAAGGUUUCUGGCACUUUUGCUUUGUUUAAGCAGACUUCCUCUGUACUGGGUUUUUUUGGGCUCCUGUUAAUUCCAGGCAGUGCUACUCUGUUGUUUAAUCAGCCGGUGUCAAAGCUCUGGGACACAGGAAGGCUGCCUUUGCCUGGUAGUACCUAUUUGGUGAUACAACUGCUUUACCUCAGGUAUUAUAAUCUGUACCAGAUUGCUCUUUGCCUGCUAAAAUGGACAGUUCAGAUCCAGUUGUAAUGCAAAUUGCACAGUAGAAUAAAAGCCUGUGGGGAACAAAAUCCCAAAUAAGUAGUUAUGUCAGCCUUUGUUAUGGCGUGAUGGCUUCAACUCUGCUCGUGCUCUGUGAAGGAUCAAGAGGAAAGAAUCUGUUGUGCCUUUGUGCUUUAUAGGCAGGAGCUCGAUGUGAGGCUGCCUUUAGGCACUGGCGGCCCUGACAGUGUGUGUGUGUGUGUGUGUGUGCGCGCGUGUGUGUGUGUAAACCUAACGGACAAAUUACACCCACGCUGGAAAUUUGAUGAUUGCCUUGUUUUUUCAAGGCUCUGUUUUAUAUACUACAGGCCAAACCCAUGGGGUAAUUGCCAGUCUCUGCACAGGGGCUGAGAUGACAUGAUGAGAGAGAAGCAUAGAGAUGCUGAAAUUUCAAUCUGCCACAUAAUGUGCUUCUAAUCCUGAUGGCCUUGUAAUUGUGAUGCUGUCACUGGUACCAUUGCAGUUGUUCUUGUCACUGUUUUCCCAUGUUUGGUGCUAAAUAUUGUAAAUGUAGAGAAAUAUUUAGAUUUGUAAAGGAAUCUAAAUUUACAGUGGAAAUAAUCACACAGGAGCCUGAAAAUGGAAGAGGUAUGUUUUCAUUUCAAAUGGCAAGUCAUAGCAAUGUAAAGCAAUAUUCUGUUGAUACAGCUGCUCUUACUGCUUUGCUUUAUCCCAGGCCACGGGUAACGAAGAAUGAAGCUGAAUAUUUUCUCAUCCUUGAGAAUUGAGGUGGGAAUAUGUGUGUCCAUAAAGUGUUGGAGCUGGCAGUCAGGAGGUCAGUGUUGUAAGGGUUACCUGAGCUCGUGCACAGCUGGUGAGAUCCAAAGUGAGAACAAUGCCUGUUCAUAUCUCCUGGAAAUGGUGGCUUCCAGAGGAAGGAACAAGCAUGAGAGGUGGUGAAGCCAGAUGGAUGAGCUGGGUUCAAAGUCCUUCUAGAAGCUAUGGCAACAUAACUUAUGUAUCUGCUCAGAAAAGCCUUUGCAACUACUGUAAAUGACUUUAAGUGACCUUAUUUUCCUGCUAGCAGUGAAAUAAGCAGCUUCAAUGGGGAGGAGUAAACCCACUUCAUUACACAUGUUGCUAGGAAUAACACUCUUACUGGUUAUUACUAAUAACCCAAUCUAUUACUGGUAGUGUGGCUGCUGAAACAGGCAGUCUUAUCUGCCAGGGAAUAACUGUACUGCUCCAAAAUUUUGAAUGACAGUGGCACAAGGGGAGUCAGAAGGGCCUCAAGGGAGGAAACUCAGUAGGAAGCAAAGUCAACAUGGUGCACUUUGGUUAUAAACAACGUCUGUGACAAAUUAAAUGUGUCGGGGCCAGUCUAUCUUUUGAGGAUUUCUGCCAGGCAACCUGAGCUCUUUACAUCCUGAUGUUUUCCUAAGGUCAUCCUUGGUGUUUGUAUGUCAGGUCACGAGGUGAUGGAGGUGUUGGCUUAUUGGCUGAUCUUCUGGAGGAAAGAGGGGCUUCUAGACCUUGGAUGUGCAAAGCAGCUCAAUCUCAGGGCUUCAGUCCAGGAUUGAGGUAAAAUUUCUUCAUUGAAAUCAAUGGCAAAGUACCUGAUCACUACAGCAGAAGUGUUCUCACACAGCAAUGCCCUGGGAAGUUCUCUUUUCUCCUGGGAGAUUCUUCUCUUAUUUAUGCAAUUAUAAAUUCAUUGUAGCUCUGUUUGAAACAACCGUUUUCAUCUGAUGCAAAUAAGAUCAAGAUCUGGCCCAGGCUGCUUUUGUACACAAUGGAAACUGACUGAAUUAUGGAAAACAGGAAACAAAUCUAAUGUAAAUCUGAAUGGAAAUAUGCUCUGUUACAUCAGCAUAAAUUGGAAGGAAGUCUGUUGAUUCUAGUGGAAUUCAUCUGGAUUUACACCAGACUGUGUCUCAGCAUUUGUCAGUUGGCUGCACACAACUCAAAACAUCAAAACUCAACAUCAAAACUCAAACCAUGCCACCUCAUCUGAAUAGGUUUGAACAUUUUCUCCCUUUUCCUUUAUAUUUAAGCAGUUGCCUCUGCAACCUGAUGGCUGAUUAGCCUUUUCAAACAAAUAAACCCCUGCAAACAGGCAUCAACAAAUAAACCUUGCUCUUACUAUCGUUUGCAGUGAGAAUAAAUGAUGAAUAUGAAGUACUGAGCUUGGGUUUAGAGUCACUUAAACCUGCUCCUGCUCCUCUGUGUUCAUACUUUAGAGCAUUAGGAUUGAGCUCACAGGGGGCAGAUCUUGACAAAACCAUUCUGAUUUCUCCAAAGGAUGGAAAUCCCAAAGGCAAAUUCAUUGCCUUCUCGUGGCACUGGGAAGGGCCAGCAGCUUCCUAGGAUGCAUAGGAUUUACCCUUCAGUAGAUCAGCAAAAUACUGUCAUUCUUUCACUCUUUCUGUCUUCAGGAAGAUGGUCAGAAUGGAGCCAAAACCCUCCCUAAUGGAACUAAUAAGGAAUUAUUAGGGAAUUGUCACACUCUGUUUCCACAGGCAAGUUCCUGCGCAGGGGAACGUGGGAACCUGUGGGUACUUUUCAUGGGAAAGCAAGAGGGUUAAUUAAUGCCUGAGCAACAAAUUUGACUCCCUGAGUGAAAGCCACUGGAAAAACACAAUAUCUGAGCAAGAGCAUAGCCACAUCAACCCUUCCCUUGAUUCUCUUAUACCCCAGCUUCUUACUUAAUUCUGUUUUCAGUCUGUGCUCAUGUUUCUCUUCAGAUAAUUAGUAAAAUGCAUCUUAAUUAAAACAAGAGGAGGAGAAGAAUACAGAAACAAAUGAAAGUCCUAAGUCAGUGGGAUUUAGGGAGGGGCAAAGCCAGUAUUCAAAUACAAAUCUUGAGGCAAACAUGAUAAUAACAGUUAUGGAAAGUGCAUCAAAGGUAAAGAGUUUUCUGAAAAUGGGGUAACUUUCUGAAAAAAAAGACUGGCUAGAGCCUGAUGUCCAAGUACCACAGAGACUGACCUGAAAUCAGUUUCAUGGGGAGAAGAGCUGGGGGAGCUGUGUGGUCAGCAUUCUUUGUUUUCCUUUGUCACUGAUUUUCUGUAUGAACCUCAGGAAAUUAACUGGGCAAGAUUUUCACAAGUGACCCCUGUCUGUAGUUGCUAUGAUGUGUAGAUGUUCAACCUGAGAUGUACCAAAUCACCCUUUGCUGCACCAGUAGCAGCAGAGCACAUGUGGAUCUCAACCACAGGAUCUGAAUGUGCCAGCCACUCCCUCUCAGAAUCCUUAUGUUCCCAUCUGUAAACUGAUAA